rnacentral:rRNA from 1 species
GUGAGAGCAAGAGCCCGGAGAUGGAUUCUGAGACACGAAUCCAGGCCCUACGGGGCGCAGCAGGCGCGAAAACUUUACAAUGCGAGAAAUCGUGAUAAGGGAACCCCGAGUGCCCGUAAAUUCGGGCUGUCCGCCAGUGUAAAUAACUGGUGAAGAAAGGGCCGGGCAAGACCGGUGCCAGCCGCCGCGGUAAUACCGGCGGCUCGAGUGGUGGCCACUAUUACUGGGCUUAAAGCGUCCGUAGCUGGAUUGUUAAGUCUCUUGGGAAAUCCACCGGCUCAACCGAUGGGCGUUCAGGAGAAACUGGCAAUCUAGGGACCGGGAGAGGUGAGAGGUACUCCAGGGGUAGGAGUGAAAUCCUGUAAUCCUUGGGGGACCACCUGUGGCGAAGGCGUCUCACUAGAACGGCUCCGACAGUGAGGGACGAAAGCUGGGGGAGCAAACCGGAUUAGAUACCCGGGUAGUCCCAGCUGUAAACGAUGCGCGUUAGGUGUAUCGGUGACCACGAGUCAUCGAGGUGCCGAAGGGAAACCGUGAAACGU